GACGAACGCUGGCGGCGUGCCUAAUACAUGCAAGUAGAACGCUGAAGGAGGAGCUUGCUUCUCUGGAUGAGUUGCGAACGGGUGAGUAACGCGUAGGUAACCUGCCUGGUAGCGGGGGAUAACUAUUGGAAACGAUAGCUAAUACCGCAUAACAGUAGAUAUCGCAUGAUAUCUACUUGAAAGGUGCAAUUGCAUCACUACCAGAUGGACCUGCGUUGUAUUAGCUAGUUGGUGAGGUAACGGCUCACCAAGGCGACGAUACAUAGCCGACCUGAGAGGGUGAUCGGCCACACUGGGAAUGAGACACGGCCCAGACUCCUACGGGAGGCAGCAGUAGGGAAUCUUCGGCAAUGGACGGAAGUCUGACCGAGCAACGCCGCGUGAGUGAAGAAGGUUUUCGGAUCGUAAAGCUCUGUUGUAAGAGAAGAACGAGUGUGAGAGUGGAAAGUUCACACUGUGACGGUAGCUUACCAGAAAGGGACGGCUAACUACGUG
rnacentral:rRNA from 1 species